rnacentral:tRNA from 1 species
CAGAGUAUAGUUCAGUGGUGGAGUGCAUGCUUAGCAUGUAUGAGGUCCUGAGUUCAAUCCCCAGUACCUUUA